UUGUCUGUCAUAAAUAAGGGCAAGUCAAAAUCCCAAUAUGUUGUGUUGUUGUCCAUAGUGUGUAUAUUAGGGUUAUAUUGUUCUAUAUUGUUGUAAGAAUUUAUAUACAGUGGUUGUUUCUUAUGUAUCCAGUAUUGUGAAUGAGUGCAGAGUAGAUUUAGAUAACUAAUGCUGUUGAAAAUAGGAUGGUUUUUUUCUGUGACAAUCUUGUAUACAAGUCUAUCCGUAAGCAUUUGUCUUCUUAAGUUUAAUGGCAUGAGGGAGGAUUCGAUUUCUAGUGCAACAAUUGGUGUAGAUGUAAAAGUACCCAAUGAAAUUCUCAUAGCCUGAUUUUGUAUAAAAUUGAGUUUUUUCAAUUCACUAUAAGAUAGAUGCACCACAAUAAAUAUACAAUUGUAUACACAAAACGUUCAUUGUUAUCAAUGAACACUGGUGAAGUGUACAAUGGUUUCCAGCAAUACUUCUACCUCAAGUUUGGAAGGAAACUUAACAUAUUGUAAAGUAAAAAGUAAAAGUAAAGGGCACAAUUAACUCAUUUUGGUGCUUAUAAAACUGUGUGUAUGUAUAACUAUUUGCAAAUUAAAUUAUGACCACUCCCACAAAU